GGAGGUUUCUAAUUGGGGCAAGGGAGGAUGGAACCCCACUUCGACUCACCAAAGAGAAGGUAAGUACUGUUACAUCGUUUCUUCUGAAGUUUUAA